UACCAGCACCCCGAGUGGUCGGGACGUUUUAUUGGGCCUAAAGCAUCCGUAGCCGGUUCUACAAGUCUUCCGUUAAAUCCACCUGCUUAACAGAUGGGCUGCGGAAGAUACUAUAGGGCUAGGAGGCGGGAGAGGCAAGCGGUACUCAGUGGGUAGGGGUAAAAUCCUCUGAUCCAUUGAAGACCACCAGUGGCGAAGGCGGCUUGCCAGAACGCGCUCGACGGUGAGGGAUGAAAGCUGGGGGAGCAAACCGG
rnacentral:rRNA from 1 species